rnacentral:rRNA from 1 species
GACGAACGCUGGCGGCGUGCCUAAUACAUGCAAGUCGAGCGAGCGGCGGACGGGUGAGUAACACGUAAGGAACCUACCGAUAAGCGGGGGACAACAUCCGGAAACGGGUGCUAAUACCGCAUACUUAUCGAUGGUCUUUCGGUGCAUUAGCUGGUUGGUGGGGUAACGGCCUACCAAGGCAAUGAUGCAUAGCCGACCGGAGAGGGUAAUCGGCCACAUUGGAACUGAGACACGGCCCAGACUCCUACGGGAGGCAGCAGUAGGGAAUCUUCGGCAAUGGGCGCAAGCCUGACGGAGCAACGCCGCGUGAGUGAAGAAGGUUUUCGGAUCGUAAAGCUCUGUUGUAAGAGAAGCGGUAUCUUAAGAGAAAGCACCGGCUAACUACGUGCCAGCAGCCGCGGUAAUAC